UACGUAGGGUGCAAGCGUUAAUCGGAAUUACUGGGCGUAAAGCGUGCGCAGGCGGUUUUGUAAGACUGACGUGAAAUCCCCGGGCUCAACCUGGGAAUGGCGUUGGUGACUGCAAGGCUAGAGUUUGGCAGAGGGGGGGUAGAAUUCCACGUGUAGCAGUGAAAUGCGUAGAUAUGUGGAGGAACACCGAUGGCGAAGGCAGCCCCCUGGGUCAAAACUGACGCUCAUGCACGAAAGCGUGGGGAGCAAACAGG
rnacentral:rRNA from 1 species